GAUGAACGCUGGCGGCGUGCCUAAUACAUGCAAGUCGAGCGAACGGACGAGAAGCUUGCUUCUCUGAUGUUAGCGGCGGACGGGUGAGUAACACGUGGAUAACCUACCUAUAAGACUGGGAUAACUUCGGGAAACCGGAGCUAAUACCGGAUAAUAUUUUGAACCGCAUGGUUCAAAAGUGAAAGACGGUCUUGCUGUCACUUAUAGAUGGAUCCGCGCUGCAUUAGCUAGUUGGUAAGGUAACGGCUUACCAAGGCAACGAUGCAUAGCCGACCUGAGAGGGUGAUCGGCCACACUGGAGCUGAGACGCGGUCCAGACUCCUACGGGAGGCAGCAGAAGGGAAUCUUCCGCAAUGAACGAAAGCCUAACGGAACAACGCCGCGUGAGUGAUAAAGGUCUUCGGAUCGUAAAGCUCUGUUAUUAGGGAAGAACAUAUGUGUAAGUAACUGUGCACAUCUUGACGGUACCUAAUCAGGAAGCCACGGCUAACUACGUG
rnacentral:rRNA from 1 species